GCGGAUGUGGCGGAAUUGGUAUACGCGCCAGACUUAGGAUCUGGUGCCGCAAGGCUUGGGGGUUCGAGUCCCUUCAUCCGCA
rnacentral:tRNA from 1 species